AGGGGCUUGCGUCUGAUUAGUUAGUUGGCAGGGUAACGGCCUACCAAGACGAUGAUCAGUAGGGGUUCUGAGAGGAUUGGCCCCCACAUGGGUACUGAGAUACGGACCCAACUCCUACGGGAGGCAGCAGUAGGGAAUAUUGGGCAAUGGACGCAAGUCUGACCCAGCCAUGCCGCGUGCAGGAUGAAGGCGCUCAGCGUUGUAAACUGCUUUUAUUGGUGAAGAACUGUAGUCCUGCGGGAUUACUUGACGGUAGCCAAGGAAUAAGCACCGGCUAACUCCGUGCCAGCAGCCGCGGUAAUACGGAGGGUGCAAGCGUUGUCCGGAUUUAUUGGGUUUAAAGGGUGCGUAGGUGGUCAUUUAAGUCUGGUUUGAAAGCAGGCGGCUUAACCGUCUGAUGUGGCUGGAAACUGAAUGACUUGAAUGGGUUGGCGGUAGCCGGAACGGGUCAUGUAGCGGUGAAAUGCAUAGAUAUGACCCAGAACACCGAUUGCGAAGGCAGGCUACUACGACUUGAUUGACACUGAGGCACGAGAG
rnacentral:rRNA from 1 species